UAAUUCUUGCAGAAUAAGGGUGCUAGUCCAUAGCAUAAUCGGGAAUUCGGUGUAAAACCGGAGCUGUUUCCGCAACUGUAAGUGCAGAAAAAAUCAUAAAAAUAAGCCACUGUCGAAGAUUCAUAACUUUAGUAGAUGGGAAGGUUAUUAUGAUAACAUCGCUACAUACAAGGUAGUGAACUGUACAAGCCAGGAGACCGACCUUUAUUUGAGCGUAUAA
rnacentral:ncRNA from 2 species